rnacentral:rRNA from 1 species
UACGUAGGAGGCGAGCGUUGUCCGGAGUUACUGGGCGUAAAGCGUGCGCAGGCGGUGAGCUGUGUCCGAUGUGAAAGCCCCGGGCUUAACCUGGGAAUGGCAUUGGAAACUGGCUCGCUGGAGUGUGGCAGAGGGGGGUGGAAUUCCGCGUGUAGCAGUGAAAUGCGUAGAGAUGCGGAGGAACACCGAUGGCGAAGGCAGCCCCCUGGGCUAACACUGACGCUCAGGCACGAAAGCGUGGGGAGCAAACAGG